rnacentral:lncRNA from 1 species
AAAUGUAAAUUAAAGCAACAUGAGUACAAAGGUACUCCGCAAGACUUACAUCAGAUCCUACAUACAUGCACAUUAUCAAGAAGGGUUGGUGGGGUUAUUGCAGCAAGCCAGCUUUGACUCUUGGCUAAGCUAUCCUACGAGACACCAACUUGAAAUAGUUUUGCGCACACGAGUCCACUACUCACCACUUCAAUACACUACCGAGGAUCCACCUCCAUCUUCCUAUGGAAGAGCCAUCCUCGGCACUCACGCUUAUCUUGAGGCUUUUAGUAGUAUCCAUUUACUUGUCUAUGAACUGUAUAGGCAACCAAGUAGUCCUUUACCACGGACGCGGCUAUUCGAAUAGAUGAUGUUAACCCUGCAGGGGUGUACUUCUUCAUACACGCUCUCACCACUUACCGCCGUUUACACGACAUGUACUCGGCAACCUUCAAGUGGAAGCCCAACGUGGGUGUCGGCCACGACCUACCUAAACACCUAAGUCUCUAGUCCAGGUUUAUCGCCUAUUCAGGUUCCAUCCGCAGGGAGUCCGGCCGUGGUUUCCACAUACGGCCCCGAACAAUGUGUACAGUGUUCCGAGACACCUAACGGGUGCCCGUGUACCCGGCCAUGUACCUACCGCAUCACAGCCCACCCCGCGGGUCAGCACUGUCCACGGCCUCCAGUAGGCUACAAACACCAGAAACUACUUGCAACUCCUGGCCAGAGGACUAGGGUGAAUAAGAAGCCGAGAGGGUCCAUUGGUUUCGGGCCCAAUGCAUGGUAGUAGCUGAUCUUAAAUCACACAUACAGAUCUCAGUGCUUAAGGUCGGCUUCAAUGAAACAACCCACCAUGUACUCCUACAUGGCCUCUCAUCGAUACCUUUACCAUAUCGUGUUCAACACAUCACUCUCAUUACCGGCAUGAUCAUUUCACUCUAGCCCAGACCUGACACGACUCUAAGCAUAGCAGGCAUAGCAAGGUAGGAACAACACAUACAUAUGGCUCAAUCAACUCCUACACAUGCUAGUGGGUUUCAUCUAGUUACUAUGGCAAUGACAGGUCAUGCAGAGGAAAUGGGUUCAACUACCGUAGCACACAGCAGUUUGAAACGUAGUGUCUUAAUGCAGUAAAAGAGAGCAGAAGCGAGAACAUGGGAUUGUAUCGAUAUGAUCAAAUGGUUGGUUGCUUGCCUGAUGGGUCGAUGCACUGAUAUUGUUCUUCGUUAGGGUAAUCGUCGUACUCCUCGGAGGCAGAACCUGCCGCAAAGAGCACCGAUACACAAACAUCACCAAACAAUAUGCAACAAUAUGAUGCAUGCAGGAGACAUGGCAAAAUGAGUGUAUUGGGCUAAUGCAACUAAGACCAGAUGGGUUUAAACCAUUUUGAAUCAAAGAUUCAAGUUUCAAACUCAUAAAUGGCCCUUUUAAGUGUUUUAUCUUGUUCUGCACUAAACAUCAGGUUAGCUUGCUUAAACAUGCAUGAAACCAGUACAGAUGGAUAGAUUGGAUUUUCAUAUAUAAAACUUUGCAUUUGGAGUUACAGAUUAAUUUCUAUGAUUUUUUAAAGUUUGUGGUAUUUACUGUAAUUUCCUGUAUAAAAAUAAUUCUAGUAAAUAAAUUACUGCGUCAGCAUUACGUCAGGAUGACGUCAGCGGUCAACGGAACAGUCCAGGUCAACCCUGACUAGUGGGUCCCUUCUGUCAGUGUAAUUAGUUUAACUAAAUAUUAAUUAAAACUAAUCCUGAUUAGUUAACAGGGCUGGGCCCCACCUGUCAUUGACCCAGGGGGGUCAAACUGGGCCCACCCAUGGUCAAACGAGGGGUCAGCGGGGUCAACUCGCCGGCGUUUAGCCGCCAGCGAGGCCGAACGUGGCGGCAAGAGUGGUUUUGUGCAUUCCGGUGACCAAAAGAGCCGCGGAGGGCAUUUACGUGUAGCUGGGAGCAAGCCGCAGCUCUUGGUGGUGUUGGUUGAGCUCGGGGUGGCCGGAAACGGCGCCGGCGACGACCUUAGCGGUCGCCGGAGUUCGGGUGAUGAUGAACCCGAAGCUACGGAGCACGGCGAGGCUCGUGGUGAGGUGCUACGGGUUCCUACGAGUGCAGUGAGUGCGUUGGACAUGAUGGUGUAGCCAGUGGGUGGCCGGAGUCACGUCGGCGACGAGCUCCGCGGCGGCACGUGCGGGUAAGCUACAUGCAGUCGCUACAGGGCUCGGAAGCGAGAAAGGAAAGGGGGGAGAGGUAGCUGGGCUCACGGCGAUCUCGAGGAACCAGACGGCACGGUCGGGGACGAGCUAGUGCGGUGGUGAUGGCGAGGGGGAUCUCCGGCUAUGGCGGAGUCGGGCGAGGUCGGUGCAGAGGCCUCGGGGCAAGCGAGCGCUCAGGGCUCAGCUAGCUCGAAGAAGAGGAGGGCGGCGGAGCUCCUGGACACGAUGGCACGGCGCAAGGACGACAGAGAGCGCGACUACGGCGACGGUGCGGCUACGGUGGCAUCGGCCAUGGCGUGGGAGAGCGAGGGAGAGAGGCAGGGGAAAUGGAAAGUGUCCACGGGGUUCGGGGCGCGACGUGGAGCUCAUACCGGUCAGCAGAGAGGCGAUGGGAGGAAGGAUGGCGGCGGGCAGCUGCGUGGCGCGCGCUGGUGCCGCCGUCGAGCACCUGCCUGCCUUCCUGGCGAAGGCAAGCAGCUCACUGGAGCGGCUGCUGGGCUGGGCCGGCUAGGUGGGCUGGCUAGUUGGGCUGCCAGGUUAGUUCCCUCCCUCUCUCUCUUUAUUUAUCUUUUUUUUAUUCUGUAACUUUGUGGACUUACUAAAAAUACCUAAACAACUCCAAAAUUCACCAAACUGCUCAUGGCCAUUAACUGGAAUAUAUCCAGCAUGGAACAUUUUAGUUUGGGAUUAUUUGAGCAUUUAAAAUAAUUUAUAUAAUUUAAAUGCCCAAACUCAAAUACUUAUGAUUUAAUUCAAAGACCUUAGGAUGACCUAGAAAAUUCUGCACCACUUUUGGCAGAGGUUCUGAACCAAGGAAAAAAUGAUGGACAUUUUAGAAGGGCAUUUCAGGUUCAUUGAAAAUAAUUUUAGUAAACCCUAGUUAGUUUCAGAGGGGGCUGGGGGUUCUGUCAUCCCCAUUUCAAGUUUCUGUUGAGAAAAAUAGACAUGAUGCAACACUCUAAUGCAUGAACUAGCUAGGGUGUGACAACUCACCCCCACUCAAAAGAAUCUCGUCCCGAGAUUUAGGUUCCUCCGGAAAGAAGGCGGGGUACUCAAGUCGAAGAUGAUCCUCCCUUUCCCAAGUUGCUUCCUUCUUAGAAUGGUGCGACCAUUGAACCUUGAGAAACUUGAUAUUAUGACGUCGAGUGGUACGCUCGGCUUGAUCGAGGAUACGAACGGGGUACUCUCGAUACGUGAGGUUAUCAUGAAGAUCAAGCGUUUCGUGGUCCACUCCAUUGAUAGGAUCCGAGAAGCAACGCCUGAGUUGAGAAACGUGGAAGACAUCGUGGACUCUGGAGAGAUGCGGACGUAGUUCCAAUUGGUAGGCAACUUCUCCUCGUUUAGCGAGAAUGCGAAAGGGUCCAAUGUAGCGAGGAGCCAAUUUGCCUAUGAUACCGAAACGAUGGGUUCCCUUCAAAGGAGUAACCCGAAGGUAAGACUUCUCGUCAACCUCAAAAGUCAUAGCCUUAUGUUUUCGGUCAUAUUGACUCUUUUGACGAGAUUGGGAUGUUUUCAACUUUUCACGAACAAUGCGAACUUGCUCUUCUGCUUCCUGGAUCAUAUCCGGGCUAAAGAAUUGUCUUUCCCCGGUUUCUGACCAGUUAAGGGGUGUUCGACACCUUCGUCCAUAGAGAACUUCAAAAGGGGCUUUACCCAAGCUAGAUUGAUAGCUGUUGUUAUAAGCAAAUUCAGCAAAUGGAAGGCAUUUCUCCCAAUCCAUUCCGAAUGAGAUAACAGAAGCUCGAAGCAUGUCUUCGAGAAUCUAGUUGACACGUUCUACUUGACCACUUGAUUGAGGGUGAAAAGCAGUGCUAAAGGAAAGGCGGAUUCCCAUAGCAUUUUGGAAACUUUCCCAAAAUUGAGAGGUGAAGAGACUUCCUCGAUCCGAGUUAAUUUCCAGUGGAACACCAUGGAGGGAUACUAUUCAGGAGAUAUACAAGUCUGCUAGCUGACUAGCGGUUAUACUCUCGGGAACAGGCAAGAAAUGGGCCACUUUGGAAAGACGAUCGACAACGACGAAGAUAGCGUUAUUCCCUCUAUUGGUCCUGGGAAAACUGGUGAUGAAAUCCAUACCAAUUUUAUCCCAUUUCCAUUCAGGAAUAGCUAAAGGUUGAAGGGUGCCAGCAGGCCGUUGAUGCUCUGCUUUUACACGACGACAGACGUCGCAGCUAGCAAUAUAUUGAGCAAUUUCUCUCUUCAUCCUAGUCCACCAGAAUCUCUGGCGUAGGUCCUGAUACAUCUUAGUGCUACCGGGAUGAAUGGUGAGAGGAGAUUCAUGAGCUUCCUUAAGGAUCAAUCGCCUUAGGUUUCGCACUUUGGGAACCACUAGACGGUUCCCGAAGUAUACGACUCCUUGAUCAUCGAUGGAGAAACAAUUUGCAACUCCUUUCUUGAUGUUUCUUUUGAUACGGGAACUCCCCGGAUCUACCUUCUGAGCUUUGAUGAUCUGAUCCGUAAGGGUAGGUUUCGCCACCAAGGUGGAAAGGAAUCCUUGAGGAACGACGUGAAGGUUAAGCUUCCGAAAUUCCUCAUGGAGAAGCGGUUGACUUUGUUGUAACAUCAGAUUGUUACAAUAAGAUUUACGACUUAGUGCAUCAGCCAUGACAUUGGCUUUUCCUGGGGUGUAAGUUAUCCCUAAGUCGAAAUCUAUGAUCAACUCGACCCAACGUCUUUGCCUGAGAUUCAAAUCCGGUUGGGUGAAUAUGUACUUCAGACUUUGGUGAUCAGUGAAGAUUUCACAACGAUUACCGAGGAGGUAAUGUCGCCAGGUUUUGAGUGCAUGGACUACAGCUGUAAGCUCUAGAUCAUGAGUAGGAUAAUUCUCCUCAUGUGGGUGCAAUUGCCGUGAAGCAUAAGCAAUUACGCGACGAUCUUGCAUAAGAAUGCAACCUAGUCCUUGUCGCGAGGCGUCGCAAUAGAUAACAAAGUCCUUAGAGAAAUCUGGUGGUACCAGUACGGGAGCAGAUGUCAGGCGUCUUUUCAGUUCCUGAAAGUUGUGCUCACAUUGUGGAGUCCACUCAAACUUUUUAUCUUUCUUGAGGAGUUCAGUUAGAGGUUUAGCAACCUUGGAGAAGUUCUCGACAAAGCGGCGACAAUAGCUCGCUAAGCCAAGGAAACUCCGAACUUGCUUGACUGAUUCAGGUGGAGUCCAAUUAAGGACGGCUUGAACUCGCUCGGGAUUGACAGGAAUACCCUUACCAGAAAUUACAUGUCCUAGAUAGGUCACUUCUGGCAACCAAAAUUCGCAUUUAGAGAAAUUGGCAUAAAGGCGAUGCUCUCGAAGUUUCAUCAACACUAGCCUUAGAUGCUCGGCAUGUUCUUCCUCGUUCUUGGAGUAGAUGAGUAUAUCAUCAAGGUAAACCACAACGAAUUUAUCCAAAUACUCCAUGAAGAUUGAGUUCAUUAAGCGAGAGAAAGUGGCUGGAGCGUUGGUUAAACCGAAGGACAUGACGGUGUACUCGUAUUGGCCAUAACGAGUAACAAAGGCCGUUUUAGGAAUGUCCCCGUUCCUGAUUUUGAUUUGAUGGUAGCCCAACCUCAAAUCCAUUUUGGAGAAGACUGAGGAUCCAGCGAGCUGAUCAUACAGAUCGUUGAUCCUGGGGAGCGGAUACUUGUUCUUGAUUGUGACCAGGUUGACUGGUCGAUAAUCUACAACCAUCCGAUCCGUACCAUCCUUCUUCUUGAUGAAGAGAACGGGACAAGCCCAUGGAGACGAACUAGGACGGAUGAAACCCUUUUUAAAGGACUCAUCGAGUUGUUUCUUAAGCUCGGCUAGUUCUAGUCGUGCCAUUUUAUAGGGUCUUCUAGAAAUUGGGACAGUUCCUGGAAUGAGAUCUAUUACGAACUCGACAUCUCUGUCAGGUGGAACACCUGGCAAUUCUUCUGGAAAGACAUCCGGAAAGUCACAGACUACCGGAACGUCUUCGAGGUCUGGCAAAGGACUGGCGUUAAGAGAAUAUAGUUGUCGCUUGGCUACUCGGGCCAAGACAUUGACUAUCUUUCCCGAAGGAUGUGUGAGUUGAACAGUCCUAGAGAAGCAAUCAAUCUUGGCAUGAUGGGCUGACAUCCAGUCCAUACCCAAGAUGAUAUUAAUAUCUGAAGAUUUGAGAGCUAUCAAUGAUGCAAGGAAAACAAGUCUGUCGACUUGAAUUUCAUUUCCAUGGCUUACUCUAGAGGUUUGCCAUCUAGAACCAGGAGUAGAAAUUUCCAUAGUGGACGGCAUGUCGCAGAAUGCGGUGUUAUGCAAACGAGCAUAAUUUUCGGAUAUGAAUGAAUGAGAUGCUCCAGUAUCGAAAAGAACAGAUGCCGGGUGGCAAUUAACAAGGAGCGUACCGAGAACGACGUUUGGAUCCUCUUGAGCUUCUUCAGCAGAGAUACAGUUGACAUGGCCACGUGCAGCGGUGGCCGGCUUGGCGUAGAAUGCUUUCCCUGUCGGCUUGCCACGGCCAACAGCUUUUCCAGACUGGUUGGGGUUGGUCUGGGGACACUCGCGUAGGUAGUGGCCUGAUUCCCCACACUUGAAGCAUGUCACGGAGCUGGUGUAUGGAGGAGCAUUGUUGGUUGGACCACCAUACGGCUUGGCUGGUGCACACUGUUGAGCUGGGCGAGGCGCCUGAUAGGAUGGCCUCGGUGUGAACCUGGGUGGCAGGGCGGUGUUAGGCACCCACACCCGGCGCUUCUGUGGUCCAGCACCGGAUGAGGAACCUAUGUCACGGCCAUGCUUGUGUGUUGCUUCAUAAUCAAUAUGACCAGACUCAGCACUGAUGGCUUUGUUUACAAGCUUCUGGAAGGAUGUGCACUCAUGCAGACGGAGGUCACGGCGAAGCUCAGGGCUAAUUCCCUUGCGGAACCUUGCUUGCUUCUUGGCAUCAGUGGAAACUUCCUCAGUUGCAUACCGUGCUAAGUUACCGAACUCCCUGCUGUAUGCAUCCAUAGAGAGCCGACCUUGAGUGAAACUGCAGAACUCCUCACGUUUACGGUCCAUGAGACCCUCCGGAAUGUGGUGUUCACGGAAAGCCUUGCUGAAUUCAGCCCAAGUAGUGACCUGGCCCACUGGGCGCAUGGCUCCAUAGUUCUCCCACCAGAGACUGGCAGGGCCUUCAAGAUGAUAUGCAGCAAAUGUGACCUUGUCAGCCUCAGCUACGAGUGCAGAACGUAGCUUGUGAGUAAUACUGCGAAGCCAGUCAUCAGCGUCGAGGGGCUCGACGGAGUGGUGGAAAGUGGGUGGAUGUAACUUGAUGAAAUCACUGAGUGACACCAAGUUAUUCCUCUGAUGAUGUGCUGUGUUUUGCUCGAUGCGCUCCAACAAAUGGUUGGUCUCCCACUUGUUUCUCUCAGCCUCCAGCAUAACCUCGGCCAGAGAAGGAGGGUGAGGCAGGUUUGUUUCCCCAACUCUGCUGCCUUCGGCCUGCUCUGGGAGAGCAGGGUUGUUGCGGGUGUUGACCAUCCUAGGGAAAACAAGACAAUGGUUUAGUCCAGGAUGAUAAGAUUCUGACAUAGAAAUGUAGAAUGUAAUGGAUAGCUUGGAAUGUAAGAUGAUCAUCCGUAUGACAUGGUAGAUACAGAAACUGCUUCUUUUAUUCCAUCGUCAUACACACCAUACAAGGUUUAGUACAAAACCAAACAAGGUACUACUACGGUGAAAGGAAGAUUACAUCUCAUCGGAGGCAUUCCAAGCUCCUAUACAUUAUUUUUCUACACCUCCGGAAGGUGGUACAAGCUAAGUCAUAUCCCACGAGUCACGUAGGACGGUGGACGAUACAACUAAUAUGAUACUAGUGAUACUACUACUAACUCAAACAGCUCUGUAGUAGUCUUCAUAGAAGUCACCUCCAUAGCCUGGAAGCUCAACGUGAUCAUCCGGAAACAGACAGUCCCGUGGAACUUGUGGACCAUAGGGGCUAGGAUGAGGUCUUGGACCAACAAAUGGUGGCCUGCGGGGACCACAAGGUGGGGUGAUGCCUCCUACAUCACGCCAAUCCAUCAUGUCUGGCAGAGCAGAUCUCACAGGAUAGAGAUCUCACAUAUCCAUAUAUCCAGCUUGCACAGCCGGUGCAAACCGAGUCAAAGUGGCCCAAUGAUCAGCACGGGUAUUGAAAAGCUCCAGUCUCAAGGCCUGAUUUUCACGGUCCUUGUCUUCAAGCAACUGUGUAGUGGUGCGGGUCAGUAAGUCCUCCUGAGUGGAGUCAGCAUAGAUAGCCUGGAGAUACCCUUGUGCCCCCGGGAGUGAAGCUGGCAUAUAUCAGAAGUCGGAGUUCCGAAACAAGCCAGUCCUGACUCGCAUGAUGCUCAUCAUAGAGUAGGCAGCAUCUUGCACAGCCAUCUCAAUAGUAACCCCGAGUCCAUAGGAGCAGUGGAGGGGCUCGGUAGAUCCAGGAUAAGAUGGAAAUAUCCUGACAGUGCAAAAAUAUUGACUUUGAUUAAAGUCUCGGAAUUGCUCUUUGACCGUGUACUCAGGAUACCAACGGUAUCCAGCCUCAGUCAUUACCCUGACCAACACGGCAGUAUGGCCGGGUACAUCUAGGCAUCGAGUCAAAUGAACCACUUGAUUCUGAGGACGGGAAGCCAUCUGGAACAUGACAAACACAAGACAUUAGAUUUCCUAACAGAAAUUGGACAGCAUAACGGUUGUAAAUGCUCAAAAAGGAUUUUGAGGCAUUUUGCAAAGAAUUGCAUAGACACUCAACAACAUCAUGUCAAGGUUCUGGGUCCAUCUUAGCAACAUAAUGGGGUAGUAGAACUGAACUAGGCUUGUAUCCAUCAAACCUAUAAGGUACUACUGAUUAGUAACACGUGAACCUGAUAGAGAGAAGAGAUCCUAAUUCCUUAACCCCCGAUGGAAGAACAGACUGACUCAGAUCAGAAUGCCAUGAGGUAAAGGAGUAAAAAGAGCCUUACGUUCCAUCCCACAAUCAAUUCCCCUACAUAUAACUAAAGCAUUUCUAGACUCAACAUCGACCAGUUUGGCUUGGAGAACCUACAGGCAGUCCGGCUCUGAUGCCAACGCUGUCAGGACCCUGACUCGAUGCCACAUCCAUCUAGCAUGUAACACAUCAUAUCACUUUGCGGCCUCAUGCACGGUAUUCCCAUGGGUGCCACCUUACCUAGCCCGGGACCGUUUGUGCCUUUUGGCUCACGUAUAUCAUAGUGCCGCUAGCAUCCAUAUGACAAAGAACCCGGGCUGACAUGGCUAGUCGUAAACCCAAAGUGGCACGGACUUACAGGGACAGGCAUCCAUGACCCAGCAUCGAACGUGUCGGUCAUCAACGAGUGAAUCCGGGCUGUAGCACUGGGCUAGCAGGACUCCGGUAAACCGGGCUGUAGCGGGCUAACAGGACUCCGGUAUCCAUCACGUGACAUUUCCCCGAAGGGACAGACACAGGAACGAAGAAGGACACAUGCCGGCCAGCCUAAGUGUUCCGGAGCAGUAGCAAGCUACCAAGGCUCAGUGAAAACACUAGGAGACAUUUCCCGGUAAGAGAGGCUACUAAGGAUAAACAACUAGAUAGUCAGAUCCCACACAUACCAAGCAUUUCAAUCAUACACACAAUAUUCUCGAUAUGUGCAAAUACAACAAGGCAUCACAACAUGACUCUACGACACAAGUACUUUAUUUAAACGCUCAGAGAGCCAUACAUAUCAUAUACACAAGUAUGGGUCACACGACCCAGCAUUCAAGUCAUACAGACAUACAAGCCAACAGCGGAAGUAACUUGUCUGAGUACAGACAACUAGUAAAAUAAAAGAGGCUUGGGGAAGCCUGGCUAUACUACAUGGUCCUUCACAAGCUCAGGAUCACCACCUGGGCCUCAGUCUACUCAUCGAUGUCAACGUCUACGAGGAACCCGUCAGAAGGGGUUGUAGCAUCUUCUGUAAAAUGUAAAUUAAAGCAACAUGAGUACAAAGGUACUCCGCAAGACUUACAUCAGAUCCUACAUACAUGCACAUUAUCAAGAAGGGUUGGUAGGGUUAUUGCAGCAAGCCAGCUUUGACUCUUGGCUAAGCUAUCCUACGAGACACCAACUUGAAAUGGUUUUGCGCACACGAGUCCACUACUCACCACUUCAAUACACUACCGAGGAUCCACCUCCGUCUUCCUACGGAAGAGCCAUCCUCGGCACUCACGCUUAUCUUGAGGCUUUUAGUAGUAUCCAUUUACUUGUCUAUGAACUGUAUAGGCAACCAAGUAGUCCUUUACCGCGGACGCGGCUAUUCGAAUAGAUGAUGUUAACCCUGCAGGGGUGUACUUCUUCAUACACGCUCUCACCACUUACCGCCGUUUACACGACAUGUACUCGGCAACCUUCAAGCGGAAGCCCA